GACGAACGCUGGCGGCGUGCUUAACACAUGCAAGUCGAACGGAAAGGCCCUGCUUUUGUGGGGUGCUCGAGUGGCGAACGGGUGAGUAACACGUGAGUAACCUCCCCUUGACUUUGGGAUAACUUCAGGGAACUGUGGGUAUUACCGGAUAGGAGCUCCUGCUGCAUGGUGGGGGUUGGAAAGUUUCGGCGGUUGGGGAUGGAUUCGCGGCUUAUCAGCUUGUUGGUGGGGUAGUGGCUUACCAAGGCUGUGACGGGUAGCCGGCCUGAGAGGGUGACCGGCCACAUUGGGACUGAGAUACGGCCCAGACUCCUACGGGAGGCAGCAGUGGGGAAUAUUGCACAAUGGGCGGAAGCCUGAUGCAGCAACGCCGCGUGCGGGAUGACGGCCUUCGGGUUGUAAACCGCUUUCGCCUGUGACGAAGCGUGAGUGACGGUAAUGGGUAAAGAAGCACCGGCUAACUACGUG
rnacentral:rRNA from 1 species